CGAUUAGGAAGCACCGGCUAACUCCGUGCCAGCAGCCGCGGUAAUACGGGGGGUGCAAGCGUUGUUCGGAAUUAUUGGGCGUAAAGCGCGUGUAGGCGGUUUGUUAAGUCUGAUGUGAAAGCCUGGGCUCAACCCAGGAAGUGCAUUGGAAACUGUCAGACUUGAAUACGGGAGAGGGUAGUGGAAUUCCUGGUGUAGGAGUGAAAUCCGUAGAUAUCAGGAGGAACACCGGUGGCGAAGGCGGCUACCUGGACCGAUAUUGACGCUGAGACGCGAAAGCGUGGGUAGCAAACAGGAUUAGAUACCCUGGUAGUCCACGCCGUAAACGAUGAGUACUAGGUGUCGCGGGU
rnacentral:rRNA from 1 species